AUGAACGCUGGCGGCGUGCCUAAUACAUGCAAGUCGAACGAGUUCUUGUUGAUGAUCGGUGCUUGCACCAAGAUUCAACAUGGAACGAGUGGCGGACGGGUGAGUAACACGUGGGUAACCUGCCCUUAAGUGGGGGAUAACAUUUGGAAACAGAUGCUAAUACCGCAUAGAUCCAAGAACCGCAUGGUUCUUGGCUGAAAGAUGGCGUAAGCUAUCGCUUUUGGAUGGACCCGCGGCGUAUUAGCUAGUUGGUGAGGUAAUGGCUCACCAAGGCGAUGAUACGUAGCCGAACUGAGAGGUUGAUCGGCCACAUUGGGACUGAGACACGGCCCAAACUCCUACGGGAGGCAGCAGUAGGGAAUCUUCCACAAUGGACGCAAGUCUGAUGGAGCAACGCCGCGUGAGUGAAGAAGGCUUUCGGGUCGUAAAACUCUGUUGUUGGAGAAGAAUGGUCGGCAGAGUAACUGUUGUCGGCGUGACGGUAUCCAACCAGAAAGCCACGGCUAACUACGUGCCAGCAGCCGCGGUAAUACGUAGGUGGCAAGCGUUAUCCGGAUUUAUUGGGCGUAAAGCGAGCGCAGGCGGUUUUUUAAGUCUGAUGUGAAAGCCCUCGGCUUAACCGAGGAAGCGCAUCGGAAACUGGGAAACUUGAGUGCAGAAGAGGACAGUGGAACUCCAUGUGUAGCGGUGAAAUGCGUAGAUAUAUGGAAGAACACCAGUGGCGAAGGCGGCUGUCUGGUCUGUAACUGACGCUGAGGCUCGAAAGCAUGGGUAGCGAACAGGAUUAGAUACCCUGGUAGUCCAUGCCGUAAACGAUGAAUGCUAGGUGUUGGAGGGUUUCCGCCCUUCAGUGCCGCAGCUAACGCAUUAAGCAUUCCGCCUGGGGAGUACGACCGCAAGGUUGAAACUCAAAGGAAUUGACGGGGGCCCGCACAAGCGGUGGAGCAUGUGGUUUAAUUCGAAGCAACGCGAAGAACCUUACCAGGUCUUGACAUCUUUUGAUCACCUGAGAGAUCAGGUUUCCCCUUCGGGGGCAAAAUGACAGGUGGUGCAUGGUUGUCGUCAGCUCGUGUCGUGAGAUGUUGGGUUAAGUCCCGCAACGAGCGCAACCCUUAUGACUAGUUGCCAGCAUUUAGUUGGGCACUCUAGUAAGACUGCCGGUGACAAACCGGAGGAAGGUGGGGAUGACGUCAAAUCAUCAUGCCCCUUAUGACCUGGGCUACACACGUGCUACAAUGGAUGGUACAACGAGUUGCGAGACCGCGAGGUCAAGCUAAUCUCUUAAAGCCAUUCUCAGUUCGGACUGUAGGCUGCAACUCGCCUACACGAAGUCGGAAUCGCUAGUAAUCGCGGAUCAGCACGCCGCGGUGAAUACGUUCCCGGGCCUUGUACACACCGCCCGUCACACCAUGAGAGUUUGUAACACCCGAAGCCGGUGGCGUAACCCUUUUAGGGAGCGAGCCGUCUAAGGUGGGAC
rnacentral:rRNA from 1 species